rnacentral:rRNA from 1 species
GAAUCUGCCAAAAGGACUGGGACAACCACUGGAAACGGUGGCUAAUACCGGAUGAGCCGCAACGUAAAAGAGGAAACUCGCCUUUUGAGGAGCUCGCGUCUGAUUAGCUAGUUGGUAGGGUAAAAGCUUACCAAGGCAUCGAUCAGUAGCUGGUCUGAGAGGAUGACCAGCCACACUGGGACUGAGACACGGCCCAGACUCCUACGGGAGGCAGCAGUGGGGAAUUUUCCGCAAUGGGCGAAAGCCUGACGGAGCAAGACCGCGUGAGGGAAGAAGGCUCUUGGGUCGUAAACCUCUUUUGUCAGGGAAGAACACAAUGACGGUACCUGAAGAAUCAGCAUCGGCUAACUCCGUGCCAGCAGCCGCGGUAAUACGGAGGAUGCAAGCGUUAUCCGGAAUUAUUGGGCGUAAAGCGUCCGUAGGUGGUUUUGCAAGUCGGCUGUCAAAGCACAGGGCUUAACCCUGUAAAGGCAGUGGAAACUACAAGACUCGAGUGCAGUAGGGGCAGAGGGAAUUCCCAGUGUAGCGGUGAAAUGCGUAGAGAUUGGGAAGAACACCCGUGGCGAAAGCGCUCUGCUGGACUGCAACUGACGCUCAGGGACGAAAGCUAGGGGAGCG